AUAUUUAGAUGCAAAACUGCUUUAGAGCUGGUGUCAGAGGAUCAAGUUUAUUAAAAAGGUUUGGUUUAGUGUCUGGAUACUGUGCACAAACUAUCGAAGAUAUGGAUUCAAAAUGUCUGUUCCGCUCUUCUCCGAUGAAGGAAGCACAGCCGAGGAGUUCUCCGUUUAUAAUAGGAGUAGCCGGAGGGUCAGCUUCUGGUAAAUCUACAGUUUGCGAGAAGAUUAUGGAGAAUCUUAGAGAAUACAACCUGGAGAUUGCUGAGAAGAAAGUUGUUCAUAUAUCACAGGAUUCAUUUUAUCGAGAUCUGAAGGAGUCCGAGAAGGAGAAGGCAGAGAAAGGAUUAUAUAACUUUGAUCAUCCAGACGCAUUCGAUAUGGAACUCAUGGAGAAAUGUUUAAAGGAUAUAUCUGAGGGUAAAUCAACUAGAAUUCCUCAAUAUGAUUUCAAGACCAACUCCAGGAUAAGAGAUAAGUUUACAAAUGUUCUAGCUUUCGAGACUGACGUCAUUCUUAUCGAAGGCAUUCUGGUGUUUUAUCAACCAAAAGUCCGUGAGAUGUUUAACAUGAAGAUGUUUGUCGAGACAGACGCCGACACAAGGCUCGCCAAGCGAGUUAUCAAAGAUACAGAGGAUCUAGGCAGAAAUAUUGACCAGGUAUUGCAUCACUACAUAAACUUCGUGAAGCCUGCGUAUGAAGAGUUUUGUAUGCCAACCAAGAAGUUUGCUGAUGUUAUUAUACCACGAGGCGCUGAUAACAAGAUUGCUAUGUCUCUGAUCAGUUUACAUAUAAACAACCUGCUCACCUCUCCACAGAAAGACCGAAGACUGAGUCUGGUAAUGGAUCCACGAAGACGACAUGUGUCCGAUACUUCCAACAUGUACGAUGUACCAAACAGGAAAGAUCUCAUGGACGUGCUCACUCGUCCUCAUUAGAAUUCGUCCAACGUGACGAAAGGAUGUAUGAUAAACGGAUCUAUAAUCUUACCGAAUAUCUUUGGUCUAAGUAUUUAAUGGCGCCCGACAUGACAAAUACUAUUACAAAAUUUUUUAAUUCUGACUUCUGAAGAAUAGAUUUUAACAUUGAAAAAAUAUUUGAACUUCUUAUUCUUCGCAACCUAUCUGACAAAAUUUUCCAUGGUCACUUGAAAAUACGUUCACAGUCCCUUUAAAGUCAGCUGUUCUCAGUUGAUUAUUCAAAUUAUAUGUGCUUCUCAAAUUCUAUGUGAUAAUGUACAUACAUUUAAAUGUGUAAACUAUUAUCAGUUUUUUUGUACAUGAAUAGUACAUGCAGUGGUUUGUCAAAAUGCAAACAAAAAAGCAUAUUACAUUAUAUAUAUAUAUAUAUAUUGUCAAGUAUAGAUCCUAGUCACAACAAUUGAGGUUAUAUUACACAGAUAACUCAGAACAUAACUAGUCAAAAUUAUAUUUUGGUCACGUCAACAUUUUGUUAAACAUUAUUUAUUUUUUCAUUUUAAAUUUGUGUGUGAACAAUGAACAUGUACAUUGUACAAUGUUCUAAAAUCCUGAGAAUUUUGCUAUGUACGUUGUACCUGUACUUCAUCAAAAACCUUUUGUACAAAAAAUUGUUGCAUGUAUAUUGCAUCUAAAUUAUUGAUCAAUGUUCAAUACCAACUAAUUAACAAGAAAAUGUUGCAUGUACAUUGUACAUAAUGUAUAUUGUGCCUAUUGCAAUCAUCAAAUUUUUUUCAAGCAAUGCAUGUACAGAACAAGUGUGUUGCUUUAAAAUAGAAAAUUUUUAAAAAAUGUAAAAUUAGGUUGUUAUGUACAUUGUACAUGUAUUUUUGUUAUGUUAAUAAACUAUGUACAUCGUACACGCAUCAAAUGGCAUAUACAGUACAAGGUACAUGCAUCUAAAUUAUGAAACAAAGAGUUAAAAUGUACAUUAAUCAUUGUUCAUUGUUCAUGUUAUGUAUUUAAAAAAUACAGAAAGUAACGUCAGGUGUGAGGUAUCAUGCAUACAUGCGUACAUGAAUAAGACAAAGAAGAAACUUAUGUCGUGCACAAUGUACAUGCAAUUUACUAUAUAAAACAAUGUACUUAUUGUUUUAGUAUUUCACAUGUACAAAUUUUUACAUUAUUGACCAAUAAAAAUUUUUUUAUUAUGUUCUAUGUACAUUGUGCAUGCAUCUAAAUAAUUAAACAGUGAACAGUGUACGUUCAAAAUAUGUAAUGUUCAAUGUUCCUCCAUUUGCAUUAUUGCACAAUUUGCAAUUGUGCACACUGUACAAGCGUAUUGUAAACAGUUUAAAUACCUCAGUAAUAUUUAGUAUAAAAAAUUCAAAUUAACUGUUAAUUGACAUUUAAUUUGCAGUUAAUUUCCAUUUAAUUACAAAGUAAUUACCAGUUAAUUACAAAGUAAUUACCAGUAAAUAACAAGUUAAUUACCAUUUUAAUACUAGUUAAUUAUAAGUUAAUUGCCAGUUAAUUACAAAUUUAUUACAAGUUAAUUGCAAGUUAAUUGCAAGUUAAUUACCAGUCAAUUACCAGUCAAUUACCAGUCAAUUACCAGUCAAUUACCAGUCAAUUACAAGUCAAUUACAAGUCAAUUACAAGUCAAUUACAAGUCGAUUACAAGUUAAUUACAAGUUAAUUACCAGUUAAUUACAAGUUAAUCACAAGUUAAUGACCAAUUAAUUACAAGUUAAUCACAAGUUAAUGACCAAUUAAUUACAAGUUAAUUACUAGCUAAUUACCUGGUGUUUACAGA